rnacentral:rRNA from 1 species
UACCUUGUAGCACCCUACCCUGUAGGGCCUACCCGGGAGGUGCGGGUAAGCCUGCCGGCGGCCCACCAAACUCUGUUUGAUAUUGAAUUCUGAACCUAUAACUAAAUAAGUUAAAACUUUCAACAACGGAUCUCUUGGUUCUGGCAUCGAUGAAGAACGCAGCGAAAUGCGAUAAGUAAUGUGAAUUGCAGAAUUCAGUGAAUCAUCGAAUCUUUGAACGCAUAUUGCGCCCAUUAGUAUUCUAGUGGGCAGGACCGUUCGAGCGUCAUUUCAACCCUUAAGCCUUCGUUGCUUAGUGUUGGGAGCCUACGGCAACGUAGCUCCUCAAAGUUAGUGGCGGAGUUGGUUCACACUCUAGACGUAGUAAUUUUUUAUCUCGCCUAUUAGUUGGACUAAUCCCCUGCCGUAAAACCCCCAAUUUAUCAAGGUUGACCUCGAAUCGGUUCAGACAAACUCGCUAAAUUGAAGCAUCUUAGUCAGCGAAGGAAAAGAAACCAACAGGGAUUGCCCUAGUAACGGCGAGUGAAGCGGCAACAGCUCAAAUUUGAAAUCUGGCCCUCGGGUCCGAGUUGUAAUUUGUAGAGGAUGCUUUUGGCGCGGUGCCUUCCGAGUUCCCUGGAACGGGACGCCUUAGAGGGUGAGAGCCCCGUACGGUUGGACACCAAGCCUCUGUAAAGCUCCUUCGACGAGUCGAGUAGCUUGGGAAUGCUGCUCUAAAUGGGAGGUAAAUUUCUUCUAAAGCUAAAUAUUGGCCAGAGA